ACGUAGGGUGCAAGCGUUGUUCGGAAUUAUUGGGCGUAAAGAGUAGGUAGGCGGAAUAGUAAGUCAGAUGUGAAAUCCCAGGGCUCAACUCUGGAAGUGCAUUUGAUACUGCUGUUCUUGAUUUCAGGAGAGGGAAGCAGAAUUCCUGGUGUAGGGGUGGAAUCCGUAGAUAUCAGGAGGAAUACCAGAGGCGAAGGCGGCUUCCUGGACUGAUAAUGACGCUGAGCUACGAAAGCGUGGGUAGCAAACAG
rnacentral:rRNA from 1 species